AUUGAACGCUGGCGGCAGGCCUAACACAUGCAAGUCGAGCGGAUGACGGGAGCUUGCUCCUUGAUUUAGCGGCGGACGGGUGAGUAAUGCCUAGGAAUCUGCCUGGUAGUGGGGGAUAACGUUCCGAAAGGAACGCUAAUACCGCGUACUUCCUACGGGAGAAAGCAGGGGACCUUCGGGCCUUGCGCUUUCAGAUGGGCCUCGGUCGGAUUAGCUAGUUGGUGAGGUAAUGACUCACCAAGGCGACGAUCCGUAACUGGUCUGAGAGGAUGAUCAGUCACACUGGAACUGAGACACGGUCCAGACUCCUACGGGAGGCAGCAGUGGGGAAUAUUGGACAAUGGGCGAAAGCCUGAUCCAGCCAUGCCGCGUGUGUGAAGAAGGUCUUCGGAUUGUAAAGCACUUUAAGUUGGGAGGAAGGGCAGUAAGUUAAUACCUUGCUGUUUUGACGUUACCGACAGAAUAAGCACCGGCUAACUUCGUGCCAGCCGCCGCGGUAAUAC
rnacentral:rRNA from 1 species